GUGAAACUAAGGUGCUUUCCGUGAUAGUUCCUCGUGCAAAAAUAGACUUGAAUUUCUUAGUCAAUCUGAAGGCCGAGGCCCAACUACGUGGAGAUCACUUCUUCAGCGCUGUUAAAAAUGCUCUGCACUGGUGGACGAGCAAGACCUGGGGGCCGCGGCCCGGUGGGGGCAAGUCGUGUGGCGGCAGGGGGAGACUUAGUUCUUAACUUAGAAGAAGCCGGGGAAAGGGAAUAGAUCAAGUUUCUGAAGGAUGUUCAGGACCUCUCUCCCAGUCACAUUCAACCUUUGGGUUCACUUUUGAAUAUCUUUUUGGAAGCUUGUCCCACUAUUUUAAAGGACUAUACCAUGGAGCCUGAUGAGAAACUUAUACUAAAUGCAGCACAUUUGAUAGUAGCAUUAAGAGGCCCUUGCAUCACAUUUAGGAACCUUUACUUGGUUUAGUAUCAAGCGAGCUCAGAAGGUCACUUCAGGGCUUGGCCGUAGCAAGUGAUUUUCUAGAGCAGUCAUUUCAGCUGGUAACUAAUGAUAAUAUCCUUUGCAUCAAUGGCUUGAUUUCCAUAAUAACCAUUAAGAUAAAAGAGGAAACACAAACAGAGUUGACACCGAUGAAUGGAAUCCAUCCACUGAUACACAUUUCCUCAAUUGAUAACCGCUCUGGAAAUGUUGUGAUACACCCAAAAUUUUAAAUAUUAAUCCAGCAGUUGUGUUAGUCUACGACAGUUUGAUCAACUAUCGCGGGACCAAAUUUUCUAUAGAUUGCAAACUUGAGUUUGCUCGCACUGCUUGCUCAUCUAAAUUCUGCUGCUGUGCUGCGCUAUAAGCAGAACUUGGUCCUUUUUUGAGAUUGCUACUUCAGUGUUGAUCAAGUUUCAGAGAUGUCCACUGUUCUUCAGCAGUGAGAUGUUAUAGCUCGUAGGAUUUUUCCGCUAGUACACUUUGAGCUCACACAUAUUUAGGGACUAACCCCGGAGUUGUCUAGGUUCUCGCUUCCAGUAUAGGGGUGUGAUCCUGGUGCCCCCCCUUACUUGCUUUCUACGCAAACCAGUGAGUAUUAUAUCUCCCUUUACAUUUUCUUGUCCUGAGGUUAAUGUUUAGAAUAGUUUUGAGGUGUGGGUGUUUUGCGCGCAUUUUUCUUUUUGUGCUUGUAAUUUAUCCUGAUUGUGCGUGCAUGCAUGGUUUUCUCUCUAUUGAUUAUCACCUGACACUUUUUAUGGGUAAUUAGUAUAGAGUUAGUUUCUCUCAAGGGUUGCUUACUAACUUCUGGAGAACUAAGAUUCCCUAAUUUAAAACACCUAAUUUUUUAAUAUUUUAAUGAUAUGUGAAAAAGAAUUUGUGCUGCUGCUGUACAAGACCAAGUGAAUUUCUUAAAUUAUUUUAAUGAUAUGUGUAAAUGAAUUUGUGUUGCUACUUAUUACAGCAUUAAUACUAGCAGAUAGCUGAUAAAAUUUUUAGUAAAUUCUUGUGUUAAUUUAGUCCAUUGUGUAUGGGUUUGGAAUUAAUAUUGUUUGUACUUUGUCCUUGGUGCAUUUUAACCUUGUUUACAUGCAGUCCAAACCAUUUAUGGGAAAAUUGUUCAACUACUUUCUGUUAGCAGAAAGCACAGAGACAGUGUUGUGCCACUUUUUAUUAUGCUAGCCUUUAUGGUCCUCAAACUCCUGUAAACAACAUCAUUCCUUCAUUCCCUCCUGCUUUGGCUAGCUACUGAUGGAACCUUCUAGUUAUGCAAAGAACCCGGAAAUGCUGCACAUCCUACUAAUGCAAUUCUGUCUUUCGAGCAUCCUGGGACAAACCUUGAUAUUAGAAUGAGUUAUUUUGAUGAUACAAUCUCAUUUCUAUAUGUUUAAACAUAUGUGUGCCUGCUUUAGAUUAUGAAGCACAAGUCCGAAUAGCAGCUGCCGAAAAGGUGUUAAGGAGGAGCUAACUUGUAAAGGAGGCAAGAUGAGAGAAGAAAUGCCUAACCCCCAUCACCUAUUUCCCACGCAAACAAGGGAUUAUUUUGUUUCCCCUCACAUCCUGUCCUUCACAUAAAGGGCAAUGUUAAGAUUAAGAUAUAGGGCGAGUUUGUUUGUGUGCAUGCUUGAUUAUGUGGUUGUAAAUAAUUUGAUUACUUUCACUCCGAUUCGUUGAUUCUGAAGGGUCCUUUCAGUAGUGUUUGUAACAAUGCGAAAAUACUAACGAAAUGUGUUUUUAAAUGGCAGGGCUAUGCCACGGAGCCUGAUGAGAAACUUAUACGAAACGCAACACAUUUGAUGGUAGCAAGGUUGACAGGAAGUGUUGCUAAUGUAACUUAACACCACUUUACAUACCUUGCGUGCUGAUUGAAAAGACCUUUACAUCACAUUUAGGAACCUUUACGUGGUUCUAUAUCAAGCCAACUCAGAAUGUCACUUCAGGGGCUUGGCUAUGCAAGUCGUCUUCUAGAGCUGUCAUUUCAGCAGGAAUCACAAAUGGAGUUGACACCGAUGAAUGGAAUCCAUCCAUUGAUACACAACUUCCUCGAUUGAUAACCGCUCUGGAAAUGUUGUGGUUGAGUGUAAGGCUGCGUAGCAAGGAGAACUCAGUCCCGUGUUGAGAGCGCUACUUCAGUGUUGAUAAGUUAUAGAGAUGUCCUCUGAUCUUCAAAAGUGAGGUGUUAUAGCUGUAACCACUACUCGUAGGAUUUUUAUGCUAGUACAUUUUGAGCACAAACUUUUGCAGGAACUAACCCAGAGUUGUCCUAGUUCUCACUUCCGGUAUAGGGGUGUGAUCCGGCAUCACCCCUUACUUGCUUUCUACUCAAACAAGUAUGUAUUCUAUCCUCUUUACAUUUUCUCAUCCUUCAUAUUGAGGGUAAUGUUUAGAAUAGUUUUGAGGUGUGGGCGUUUGCGUGCAUU